AAAACAAAAACAGACACAGAGAAAUACAGAAAGAGAGACCUGAAGGAUUGACGACGAAAACGAGGAACAGUGAUCUUACAGCCAAGUACUGUUCGAGAUCUUCCAUCAACAUCAAUCUCCAUAGAAACUAGCCUGGGGUUUAACCUUUCAACAAUUCCAAGAUCCAACUUUUUUGGAGAUUCUGAAGGAAAAGGAUUCGGUUGAAAAGAAAUAAAACAUGUUUGACACAAGAUCAGUUACUACAUUUGCUGAACAAAAGUUCUCCAGAGAUGGUAUUCAAGUAAACACAGGUCCCUAGGUUGUAAAAGUAGCUGCUCCAUUCUAAAGGCCGAUCUCCGAUACUGUUUGCAUGAACAAAGAUGUAGUUAAGGAAUUUGACCCUUAUUUUAUUCCCCAAUGUCUUUGCAGAGCAAAAGCUGGCUUCAAGCUUGGCAGAUAGUGUUACUCAAAUGUCUCAAGAUGUUGAUAAGGUGAGCAAUCCUGACAGCAUCAGAAU